rnacentral:rRNA from 1 species
AUUGAACGCUGGCGGCAGGCUUAACACAUGCAAGUCGAACGAGUGGCGGACGGGUGAGUCAUGCUUGGGAAUCUGGCUUAUGGAGGGGGAUAACGACGGGAAACUGUCGCUAAUACCGCGUACCAUAGGAAGAGCCCAAGUGGGAUUAGGUAGUUGGUGGGGUAAUGGCCUACCAAGCCGACCAUCUCUAGCUGGUCUGAGAGGAUGACCAGCAAAACCGGGACGGAGACACGGCCCGGAUUCCUACGGAGGGCAGAGGUGGGGAAUAUUGCGCAAGGGGGGAAACCUGACGCAGCAAGGCCGCGUGAGGGAAGAAGGCCUUCGGGUUGUAAAGUUCUUUCGGUGACGAGGCGUUAAUCACAGAAGAAGCACCGGCUAACUCCGUGCCAGCAGCCGCGGUAAUUC